rnacentral:misc_RNA from 1 species
CCAAUAGCGUAUAUUAAAGUUGUUGCAGUUAAAAAGCUCGUAGUUGAAUUUCGGGGUUAGUAAGUUGGUCGUGCCACUGGUAUGUACUGGCUUUACUGAUUCCCCCUUCUUGUAGAACCGUAAUGCCAUUAAGUUGGUGUUGCGGGGAAACAGGACUGUUACUUUGAAAAAAUUAGUGUUUAAAGCAAGCUAACGCUUGAAUACAUUAGCAUGGAAUAAUGAAAUAGGACGUUCGAUCCUAUUUUGUUGGUUUCUAGGAUUGACGUAAUGAUUAAUAGGGAUAGUUGGGGGCAUUAGUAUUCAAUUGUCAGAGGUGAAAUUCUUGGAUUUAUUGAAGACUAACUACUGCGAAAGCAUUUGCCAAGGAUGUUUUCAUUAAUCAAGAACGAAAGUUAGGGGAUCGAAGACGAUCAGAUACCGUCGUAGUCUUAACCAUAAACUAUGCCGACUAGGGAUCGGAUGAUGUUAAUUUUAUAAUGACUCAUUCGGCGCCUUACG